rnacentral:rRNA from 1 species
GUGAGGAAUAUUGCGCAAUGGAGGCAACUCUGACGCAGCCAUGUCGCGUGCAGGAAGAAGGCGCUACGCGUUGUAAACUGCUUUUAACCGGGAAGAAACCCCAGGACGUGUCCUGGGUUGACGGUACCGGAGGAAUAAGCACCGGCUAACUUCGUGCCAGCAGCCGCGGUAAUACGAAGGGUGCAAGCGUUAUCCGGAUUCAUUGGGUUUAAAGGGUGCGUAGGCGGAGCGUUAAGUCAGUGGUGAAAUCCUGCAGCUUAACUGUAGACUUGCCAUUGAUACUGGCGCUCUUGAGUGCGCUUGAAGUGGGCGGAAUGUGCCGUGUAGCGGUGAAAUGCUUAGAUAUGGCACAGAACACCAAUUGCGAAGGCAGCUCACUAAGGCGAUACUAACGCUGAGGCACGAAAGCGUGGGGAUCGAACAGGAUUAGAUACCCGAGUAGUCC